GACGAACGCUGGCGGCGUGCUUAACACAUGCAAGUCGAACGGAAAGGCCCUGCUUUUGUGGGGUGCUCGAGUGGCGAACGGGGGAGUAACACGUGAGUAACCUGCCCUUGACUUUCGGAUAACUUCAGGAAACUGGGGCUACUACCGGAUAGGAGCUGCUGCUGCAUGGUGGGGGUUGGAUAGUUUCGGCGGUUGCGGAUGGACGCGCGGCUUAUCAGCUUGCUGGUGGGGUAGUGGCUUACCAAGGCUUUGACGGAUAGCCGGCCUGUGAGGGUGACCGGCCACAUGGGGACUGAGAUACGGCCCAGACUCCUACGGGAGGCAGCAGUGGGGAGUAUGAUACAAUGGGCGGAAGCCUGAUGCAGAAACGCCGCGUGCGGGAUGACGGCCUUCGGGUUGUAAACCGCUUUCGCCUGAGACGAAGCGUGAGUGACGGUAAUGGGUAAAGAAGCACCGGCUAACUACGUG
rnacentral:rRNA from 1 species